CCGGAAUAGCUCAGUUGGUAGAGCAGAGGACUGAAAAUCCUCGUG
rnacentral:tRNA from 8 species